rnacentral:lncRNA from 1 species
AAAGAAGCUCCUGAGGCAAGUCUUUGAUGCCCUUAAGAUAGAAUGUGUAGAAUAGUUUAAAGGGGAACACAAGUUGAUGCAGCUUCACCUGACCAUACACCCCCUCAAAGAUGCCAGAUCCACCAGUGACAGCAAGAUAUGUGUUCUCAUAGGUCAGGUAAGAACCCUGCACUGAAAUGUGACCAUAGUCCCCAAAGUAGAAGCUGUAGAUUGCCUCAUACAUAUCUCCUUUCUUCUCUGCUUUGUUUUGGAUCAAAACACAGAUUCCAGCUGUUAUCCCCACCCUCUUUUGC